GUUGGGUGCGGCUGCCCUUCUCACGGUCUGCCUGCUCAAUACUGAGAGUUACAGGAGCGGGGGGAAGGCUGUAUUCACCUGUUACAGGAGCCAGAACAUGGCUACAGACACCUCCUGGAGGUCUGCUGAAGGAGACACACAACAAAUGGCUGACAGACCAACCUUAUUACCUGGACUCUAGCUGAUUUUGAGAGAGAUGCUUCAGGCAGUACGAGGGAAGGAGCCAGGUCUACAUGAUGCUGAGUUGCAGCAACUGGUGUUCGGGAUGAAACAGGUGCUGGGCAUGGCGCUGCUGGAGAGGAGGCACGCGUUGCAGCAGAAAAUUUUCCUCCAUGUGAGAAGUGUUCCUGUCCCCCCUCCAGAAUACUCCAGCUUCCACCACCCCACCACAAAACUAAGAAUCAUCGAAAAUGUCAUGGACCACCACAAGUGGUCUCUUCAGUGAAGUAAACCAAAUCGAGAUGGAGCGAUCCCGAGAACCAAUUGCUACACAGCAGUACUGCACAGACUUCCCCGUCUUGGUGUCAAUUUUUUUC